rnacentral:rRNA from 1 species
GCAGUCGAGGGGUAGAGUUAGCUUGCUAACUUGAGACCGGCGCACGGGUGCGUAACGCGUAUGCAAUCUACCUUUUACAGAGGGAUAGCCCAGAGAAAUUUGGAUUAAUACCUCAUAGUAUAAUGAACUGGCAUCAGUUUAUUAUUAAAGUCACAACGGUAAAAGAUGAGCAUGCGUCCCAUUAGCUUGUUGGUAAGGUAACGGCUUACCAAGGCAACGAUGGGUAGGGGUCCUGAGAGGGAGAUCCCCCACACUGGUACUGAGACACGGACCAGACUCCUACGGGAGGCAGCAGUGAGGAAUAUUGGUCAAUGGACGCAAGUCUGAACCAGCCAUGCCGCGUGCAGGAUGAAGCAUCUAUGGUGUGUAAACUGCUUUUGUACGAGAAGAAACACUCCUUCGUGAAGGAGCUUGACGGUCUCGUAAGAAUAAGGACCGGCUAACUCCGUGCCAGCAGCCGCGGUAAUACGGAGGGUCCAAGCGUUAUCCGGAAUCAUUGGGUUUAAAGGGUCCGUAGGCGGGUUUAUAAGUCAGUGGUGAAAGCCCAUCGCUCAACGAUGGAACGGCCAUUGAUACUGUAGAUCUUGAAUUAUUAGGAAGUAACUAGAAUAUGUAGUGUAGCGGUGAAAUGCUUAGAGAUUACAUGGAAUACCGAUUGCGAAGGCAGGUUACUACUAAUGGAUUGACGCUGAUGGACGAAAGCGUGGGUAGCGAACAGGAUUAGAUACCCUGGUAGUCCACGCCGUANACGAUGGAUACUAGCUGUUCGGAGCAAUCUGAGUGGCUAAGCGAAAGUGAUAAGUAUCCCACCUGGGGAGUACGUUCGCAAGAAUGAAACU